rnacentral:tRNA from 1 species
GCCAUUAGCUCAGUUGGUAGAGCAACUGACUUGUAAUCAGUAGGUUGGGGGUUCAAGUCCUCUGGCCGGCACCA